CAUCGUCUACCUGCAAUUACUGUGAAGAUUCCCUGUGAAAUUUUCGCGGUGCAAUGGGGGCGCUCGUUCUGCGUUCGCUCACCUGCGUGCCAAUUUUAACCUUUUUUAACAUUUUGUUCUUCAAAAUCCAAAAUCAAUCUAACAACUUUUAGCAAUGGAUGUCUCGGCUCGAUUAACGAUGAAGGACGCCGCAAAAUGCGAUAGGCACUGUGAAAGGCAGAAUUCCGUGAAUCAAUAGAAAGCUGAACGCAUACUGCGCCUCUAGGAAUUUCCUAGCGGCAUCUCUGUUUGAGGGCGUCUGUACUCUCAUGUGGUCUCAAAGAUUCUAACAGAUUUUUGGGAUUACGUUCUUGUGCGCUAGCGACGUUCACUCCGUUGGCGUAUGAAAUAAACUAGCAUUCAAUUCCUAAGCAACCGCUUGGCGUGUCUUCGACAUAAGAGCGUGCGGCGAGGGCGUUGUUACUAGUUCAAAGCUUUUUGAACGCUUUUCGCAUUCAAAUUUACCGCAUCAAGUCAGAGAAAGAUUACCCGUUGAAAUUUUAAAGCAUAUAAGUAAGCGGA
rnacentral:misc_RNA from 1 species